AUUGAACGCUGGCGGCAGGCCUAACACAUGCAAGUCGAACGAGUGGCGGACGGGUGAGUAAUGUCUGGGAAACUGCCCGCUGGAGGGGGAUAACUCCUGGAAACGGUAGCUAAUACCGCAUACCAUCGGAUGUGCCCAGAUUGGAUUAGCUAGUCGGUGGGGUAACGGCUCACCUAGGCGACGAUCCCUAGCUGGUCUGAGAGGAUGACCAGCCAAACGGGAACUGUGACACGGUCCAGACUCCUACGUGAGGCAGCAGUGGGGAAUAUUGCACAAUGGGCGCAAGCCUGAUGCAGCCAGGCCGCGUGUGUGAAGAAGGCCUUCGGGUUGUAAAGUACUUUCAGCGAGGAGGCGUUACUCGCAGAGGAAGCAACGGCUAACUCCGUGCCAGCAGCCGCGGUAAUAC
rnacentral:rRNA from 1 species